GUUUCUCCAUGGGUGGGGAUUUGUUGCAUUACUUAUAGCUACAUGUAGAGUAUUGCACUUGUCCCGGCCUGUGGAGGAAAG
rnacentral:pre_miRNA from 1 species